rnacentral:tRNA from 1 species
AUUUAAGUAGUUUAUAUACAAAAUAUAGGUUUGUGGUUCCUAUGAAGUUCAUUCAACCUUGAAUU